AUGAACGCUAGCUACAGGCUUAACACAUGCAAGUCGCGGGGCAGCAUGGGGGUUGCUUGCAAUCCCCGAUGGCGACCGGCGCACGGGUGAGUAACGCGUAUCCAACCUGCCCUUCACCACGGGAUAACCCGGCGAAAGUCGGACUAAUACCGUAUGUUGUCCAUUGACGGCAUCCGAUUUGGACGAAAGGUUUGGCGGUGAAGGAUGGGGAUGCGUCCGAUUAGCUGGACGGCGGGGUGACGGCCCACCGUGGCGACGAUCGGUAGGGGUUCUGAGAGGAAGGUCCCCCACACUGGAACUGAGACACGGUCCAGACUCCUACGGGAGGCAGCAGUGAGGAAUAUUGGUCAAUGGGCGUAAGCCUGAACCAGCCAAGUAGCGUGCAGGAUGACGGCCCCAUGGGUUGUAAACUGCUUUUAUGCGGGGAUAAAGUGGCCCACGUGUGGGUUUUUGCAGGUACCGCAUGAAUAAGGACCGGCUAAUUCCGUG
rnacentral:rRNA from 1 species